ACCAGAUAUCGGCCUUGUAGUCGUAUGGACGGUCCUUGGACGUCUCGCACAUCACCACCUCGGGGGCCAUCCUGGAAGGAGAGUCAUUGAAAUGAGAUGUAGAGAUUACAGAUGUUUAUGUUUGGGCAAAAGAACAACUUAUGUGGGCUAGGUAAUUCUUGAAUGAAUGUCCAAUCCUAGAAGCAAAGCAAAGCAGUGUACAACCCAUGUUCGACUCCGGCUGAGACAAGAGUUGAUGGCGCUGAUACUGUGAUGCUGGCUGACCCCCACAGACAAACCACUGAAGCAGGUCUUACCUUUGUCACCGUGUUUCACUGAGUGGUUUAAAGAAAAAAUUGCUCUGCAGUUUCAGAUCUGAUGACUUUAAAAUAAUUGAUUUGUUUUUAUUUAUUUAAUGUUUAAUAACUUAUUUAUAGUGGCAUGACAAAUUAACAGAAAUAAUUAUACCCACACUGUCACACACUUUGAAUAUCAUGUAAAUAAUGAGUUUUAAUGUGACAAUUGUAUGUGUCACAAGCUUCUGGAAAUCUCAUGUAUUAUGAGUAAGAGCAGCACAAGGAACAAUUUACACAAAGUCUCUCUUCUGACUGUUUGACAUGCUUUUAGUGUAAUAUCACAAGAGGGAUCAUGUGAACUUGUAAGCUUCUUUCAUUAGAGUGGCUAAAAAAAAUACUGUGGGAGACUUCAUAACAGCAUAGCUGUUUUUCUCCUCUGUAUGAUAUCACAUGAUACCUCGACUCAGCUGUUUUCAUCAGUCCAGAUAAGUGAAUGUAAUGCUUUGUUGUGAACGGAGGAUUUAACUGUACAAUUCUUGUUGGCAGCAGUACAGUAAUGAGGAAACAUGAUGAAAGUAAAUGGAGACUAUGGCUAAAGGCGCAAAGCCAACAUAACUGAGAUCCAGGGCCUCUGUGGCCGCACCAUGGAUUACGGUUUGUGGAUCGCGCACCGGAAGUCGCGGUGUUGGAUCCAGUGUGGCGGAUUCUGAGUCAUGUGGGCUGAUCGUGGUGCUGGUGGCGGACCCUGUGUCGCGUUGGCAUUGGGCACGGGCGGUGGACCAGGACCGCGGUGGUGGCUUGUGAUGGGUCCUCCUGAUGGGCGGCGAUGGACGGUGACUGAGGACUGGAGUGGCGUCUGGUCUGGAUGGUGGAUCGUGGUCUGGAUGGUUGCUGAGCAUGGACUGUGCUUGCAGCGGGACUGCUUGGCAUGUCAUGUUGGGGUUGUCCUUCGGGAUGUCUACCCUCAUCAAUGCUGCUAGAGACUUUGAUUAUUGAUGAUGUUGUCUUGCACUUGGCAUCUAUUGCACUUCUCUCCGUCCUGGGAGAGGGAUCCCUCACAUGUGGCUCUCUCUAUGGUUUCUACAUAUUUUUACCCUGUUAAAAAGGUUGUUUUGUAGUUUUUCCUUACUCUUGUUGAGGGUUAAGGACAGAGGAUGUCACACCCUGUUAAAGCCCUAUGAGAUGAAUUGUAAUUUGUGAAUAUGGGCUAUACAAAUAAAAUUUUAUUGAAUUUGA